UACGGAGGGUGCAAGCGUUAUCCGGAUUCACUGGGUUUAAAGGGUGCGUAGGUGGGCAUGUAAGUCAGUGGUGAAAUCUCCGUGCUUAACAUGGAAACUGCCAUUGAUACUAUGUUUCUUGAAUUUCCUGGAGGUCAGCGGAAUAUGUCAUGUAGCGGUGAAAUGCUUAGAUAUCAGGAAGAACACCCGUGGCGAAGGCGGCUCUCUGGGACGGUACUGACGCUGAGACGCGAAAGCGUGGGGAGCGAACAGC
rnacentral:rRNA from 1 species